UGUGUAUGUAUGUAUAUAUACAUGUGUGUAUAUAUACGUAUAUACAUGUGUAUAUUUAUGUAUAUAUGUGUGUGUGUGUAUACACACACACACACACACACACACACACACACACACCCCUAACAGUUUGGAGCUGGGAAAAGAACUUAAUAAACUGCUUUCAUAUACUUAUUUCUUUAAUUGUUGUAAGUAAUAUAUCUACAGGACUUAAAAACUAAUACAGUAUUACAAGGCUUAUUAUGAAAAACAAUAAUUCCUCAACUCUACCCUUCCUCCUCCCUAGCCCUACUACCGGAAUAAAUUAGUACAACAUUUCAACGUUUUAGCUGUUUUUAUAUUUGCUUCCAGAUUUCAGAUAUAGAACCACUCUUAGACCAGGUAAGCAAGAAUCUAGUUCCAAUAAAGUGGCUUCAUUACAAGUUGCCUCCUGCUGGAUGAUGCAAGUAUUUCUCUUUAGAUUGUAUAAGAUUAAAGUGUUGAAAUGAUGCCGUCUUGCUGAUUUGCAGUGAUUCUCUCUUAUUUGUGUCAGAUCCAGGAUGAGUUCAGACCCUGGGCUAUCCAUGGACCAUGGCUGACCCUUGGCCUAAAGCCACAUAUCCAGGCCUAUGAAAUGGAUUUGACCCAUCUGUGAUCUGAUUACCCCACCACUGCAUGCCUACAGCACACAAGGAAUGCGAAAACAUCAUGUUCCAGGGACAGUCUUCAUUUGCGCUAGACAAAAGACAAACAAUCCUUCCUUGAAUGGACCCACUCUUCUUUUUUCACUCAUCUCCUCUCACUGAUCUCCCUGCUGGUGGUGGCGGAUAGAAGGCAGAGAUGUGGUCAACACCAAAUGAGAUUAUGUUCUGGGAAUUCAGAGAUUACAGUCUGAAGAAUUCAAGAUAAGGGACAUGUAAUCAGCGAGUACUGACUUUCUCUCCCAUCCUUCAUCUUAUUAAUGUGCUGCUUGAAUAAAAGAUGUGGCCACUGAUCCAGUAGGAAAUGCGCAUCUGGUUUCCAUCACCAAUUGAGAUGUUUAGAACUGCAUGAUUCCAUCAAUUCCCUGUCUUGGCUAUUCCCACCCAAGGGCUCAAGAUCACUCUCAAGUAUGACCUCCAUAAAGAACCUUCAUAUCAUCUUGCCCUGCAUGAAAUAUAUUAGAAGCCUUUGCUCUGGUCUUUCAUGGUACUUUUAAAGGAUAUUAUCAUUUACAAAAUGGAAUACCAAUGACUUUUCACAAGUGGUCUAUCAACUAAGCAUGUACUUAAGUAAAUAUUUUCAGAGGAUUUCAUUAACCUCUGAGUGAAUAGUUGAAAAAAAAGAAUGAAACAGAUAUAAGUCCAUGUUUUUAUUUGUAAAUAAAUGUAUUGCCAAAAUUACAUACAAAUAACAAAUAAUGUCUCGAGUGACAUGCAAUGAUCAAAAUCCUCAAAAGAAUACUUUUGUUUAGUAGAGAUUUGAACAAAUAAACUACAAUUUAAGGAGACUGUUGUAUUUCUUUUGAGAUAACCCCAUAAGUUUUACAUUCUGUAUCAAGGCAUCCAUUUGCAGUAAUAAAGAUUCAAGGCUUAUCCCUAAAAGGCAAUGCCCAUUCUUUAUAGUCAAUAUGAUCCUGCUAGCACAUAAAGCCUGAAGAAAUAACAGAUACUAGAUUUAAAACCACUUUACUAAAAUUAAUCCAUGGUGAUGAUAUGGAAGAAAACCACAGGAGUCUUGAGAAAAUAAACUAGCUGCUGUCUGGUUGAUACCAGAAAUAGAGAUUGGUAUAAGGAAAAAAUUAAAAGAAAGAAGUAUCACAAAUAAGAAUGAUUGAUACUUAUUAGAAACAUAUCUGGAAAUAGAUGAUUAGGAAUAUUAAAAAUAAAAAUGAAGAGGUAUAUAUGAUGCCACUGAAGAAACAAGCAAAAUUCAAAUGAAUAAAAGGUAAACAAGAAAUCAGGAAAUAAAAAAAGUCCAAUAAAAUCUGAAAAGGGAAAGAAGGCACAAAGUAAGUAUCAAUAAAGAAACCACAAUAUCAUUACUGCAAAGUCAGAGGUCAAAACAUCAUAGCUAUAGAAACCUUAAAGAGACUUUUUAAAAUAUAUCAUUUCUAAGAGGCCAUAAUAUACAAUAAGUUACAAAUAUAAAAAUGUUUUAAUAUUUACAAUUUAACGUACAUGUAGACAAUAAAGUUAUGGGAAAAGAAACAAAAGACAACAAAAGUAACAUCCCUACUUAUGUACACUCACUAUGCUUUCACGGUACAUACUUUUACUUUCCAAACCCUAACAAUUAUAUAGCAUUUCACACAAUAAAAUUUUAUAUAGCAUAUCUGAAUUACUUCAAAGCUUAAUGCGGAUUUAAAUAAUAAAACUUUACUAUUUUGAUCAUAAAUUAAGCAAAUGAGACUAAAAUGACAUUUUUUAUUUUCAACUUAAUGGUUAUUUAAUAAUCACUGCACUCCUUGGGGAUGUUAACAUUGUAGAACUCGACAAAUUAACAAGAUAGUUCUAGGUUGACUCUAUUUUCUCUUAAAUAUUAAAUUUAUGAUUUGCUAAAAAAAAAAAAAAACCUCUAAUAAGGACACAGAACUUAUAGUUUGCCAGUUUGUGUUACAAGAACUUUCUACACUGAGGAAGAUAUGAACACUAGUUAUCACACUCCAAACACUCUGCUUCCUGCACAUACCAUCUCCUGCAUUGCCUAUUUUUUCUAGCAAAGCACUUAGUAAUCACUUGUAUAUGUUUAAUUGUGGAAGUCUUAAAGCUGUAAUAAUUUAUAUUGUGUAAAAUAGAAAGGACGUGAAUUCAGUACAUCAGGGAUGGAAAAUAUGCUCUUACUCAUUCUCCUGUGGCUGAAGUAGAAAUCAGUAGUAUGUAUGUAAACCUUUUUUUCCUGAGCCUCAAAAUUCCUCUCAAUGCUCAGUUCCAGGCAGCCAUUACCAAUUGCUAAGAGUUAGCAUAUGGGUGAAAAUUGAUUUGACAUCUCUAGUUAGAAUAUGAAAUGCUGGCGUAUAAAUUAUAGGUCAAGAGAUCACAGGUAUCUGGAUAAGCAAUAUCAUUCAGUUACAAAAAAAAAUUGGUGUGCAGGGUUAAUAUGAAAUCUGAGAACUAUGUAAACCAUUUCUCAGAGAUUAAAGCCAUGAUAUAGUUACAAUGUAGCCAAAACUGGCUGUGGAACAUAGAGAACUCGUAAGUGUUACUGUCUUAGAUAGCUGGAACGAUCACUGAGACUACUCUUUUAUAUGUUAACUUGUUUACUGCUCACAGCAAACUUAUAUGUUGAGUACUAUGAUUAUCAUCUACCUAUCCUCAAUUAAAACACAUGUACCCUAAAACUUAAAGUAUAAUAAUAAUAAAAUAAAAACAAAACAAACAAAAAGAAAACAAAGAGAUCUUAUUAUCAUCCCCAAGUUAAACUGCAUAACAAAAGGUAGAGGUGGGAUUUUUAACUAAUUUAUCUUCAGAGUAAGUGUCUCUACUAACUUCUAUACUUUCUGUUGCCUAUGCAAGUCUGUUAUAGAAAUCAAAUAAGAACAUGUGGGUAAAAGUGAGUUUAAACCACUAGCAGAUGUAAGGAGUUGAUAUUAAUAAUGAAUCCAUGAAACAUGCAGGGGGGUUAAAGGUUGGGUUUGCAAAUAAGAGGUUUGUGUUUGUUUGUUGUUGUUCUUUUUUUUGAGAUAGAGUCUCGCUGUAUCACCAGGCUGGAGUGCAGUGGUGCGAUACCAGCUUACUGCAACCUCGUCCUCCCGGGUUCAUGCCAUUCUCCUGCGUCAGCCUCUUGAGUAGCUGGGACUACAGGUGCGUGCCACCAUGCCUGGCUAAUUUUUUGUAUUUAUUGUAGAGACAGGAUUUAACCACGUUAGCCAAGUUGAUCUUGAUCUCCUGACUUUGUGAUCCACCCACCUUGGCCUCCCAAAGUGCUGGGAUUACAGGUAUGAGCCAUGGCACUUGGCCUUUUGUUUUGCUUUGUUUUG
rnacentral:lncRNA from 1 species